GUGCUGGCUUCUGCAGCACAUGUACUAAAACUGGAAUCAUACAGAGGAGAUUAGCAUGGCCCCUGAGCAAGGAUGACCUGCAAAUUCGUGAAGCGUUCCAUAUUUUU
rfam:Pteropus alecto contig110069, whole genome shotgun sequence.